ACAGAAUCCGCAGCAGGCUCCAGGCUCUGAGCGGUCAGCACGGAGCCCGACGCGGGGCUCGAACCCACAAACCGGGAGAUCAUGGUCUGAGUCGAAGUGGGAUGCCUAACAAACUGAG